AGCUUCAGGGAGCAGUGACAAGCUAUGGUGUCUAACGGGUGAUGUCUCCAGGAGCUGGGGCUUUAAGUGAAACACCAGAUCACAAACCUCACAAUGAAAUCACGAGAACUAGCAGCACGGUGACUGCUGUGUCCACAACAUGCUUCCUCUCCAUCCCCUCCAUUCUAUAGAAGCCUUUCCAUAAUCAACUCAUACAACAACCUUCCAUGCCUACAUGCAAUGGUUUCACACAGGAAGAAGAAUAGAAAACUAAAACUAAAACAAGAAAAGAAAAUUACAAGAGAAUCACCAGGCUGAUCCCACCCUGUAUCAUAUCACUUCCAUCCUGCAAAAAGCCCUGU